AUUGAACGCUGGCGGCAGGCCUAACACAUGCAAGUCGAGCGGAUGAAGGGAGCUUGCUCCUGGAUUCAGCGGCGGACGGGUGAGUAAUGCCUAGGAAUCUGCCUGGUAGUGGGGGAUAACGUCCGGAAACGGGCGCUAAUACCGCAUACGUCCUGUGGGAGAAAGUGGGGGAUCUUCGGACCUCACGCUAUCAGAUGAGCCUAGUUCGGAUUAGCUAGUUGGUGGGGUAAAGGCCUACCAAGGCGACGAUCCGUAACUGGUCUGAGAGGAUGAUCAGUCACACUGGAGCUGAGACACGGUCCAGACUCCUACGGGAGGCAGCAGUGGGGAAUAUUGGACAAUGGGCGAAAGCCUGAUCCAGCCAUGCCGCGUGUGUGAAGAAGGUCUUCGGAGUGUAAAGCACUUUAAGUUGGGAGGAAGCGCAGUAAGUUAAUACCUUGCUGUUUUGACGUUACCAACAGAAUAAGCACCGGCUAACUUCGUG
rnacentral:rRNA from 1 species